GCAACCAUUUAAUUUGAAAAAGGUAUGCCCUUUUCGCCGUUAAAUGUUGCAGCCUAAUUUUGGAUCGAGAAUUAAGUGCGACGAAGAUGGCCGUUAAUAAUAGUUCUACUACUUUAAGAACACGGUUCAGAUUUGGAUAACGACUUCGAAGGCAUUCGCAGGAGACCAAACAGAGAAAGAGAGGGAGACACAAAACCACCUGUCUCGGUGUCACACAUGAGGAGUUGAGGAGGAGAUGAAGUCAGUGAAUAUGACCUGGCCUGGGGGAGUUUCCAGAAGAAGGCCCAGAAUCGCUGGAUGCCAGGAGUGGAGAUCCUUCGUUGCUGCCCUACAUGAUAGGAGGCAUCGGGCAGUACAUGUAGAUGCUGUAAUUUGAAACGGAAGGUGUCCUGCCAAUAAAUUUUCAUCCCACCUGAACUGCCUUGCCUGCCUGCACCCAGUCAUCUGUUCCUGAGCAUUUUCAUUUUCCUCUAUUUUUCAUCAUCGUUUGUUUCGGCCUGUAUGAAGUGAAUUUCACAUUGAUUGGUGGAGCUGCUAAGUUGGCAUUACAGGGCCACGCCGGGGUAUGAUCCUUUGGGUUGAACAUCAUGACUGCUAGUUGGUCGGCAAAGGUGAUGGGAUCGAUCAAUGUCACAUGGAGUAAGAUCGAUACCAAUCUGCUUUGCUACAUUUCGAACAAUCUCAUACGGAUACGGAUAUUAUUGCGACAGGAGUACUGCUCGAUGUGGUCAAGCCUAUUUGACAAAGCAUUAUGGUGUUAGUCAUGUUAUCAGAAACCGAUUUUUCAAAAUCACGGAGUUGCUUCAAUUUAGUAUCGAUAGAUAUUUCAAGAACGUGUAGACUAGUGAGCUUUUCAUUAAGAAUUUCACGCAAUUUAUUUUCGCGCUUAUCCAUGUCAUCAUUGAGUUUUUGUCUCUCGCGUUCCAUUGCCACGGCCACCGCUCUUUGAACGACUGUAUCAAUAUGAUCUAGGUAUGCUGGGCUUUGUUUAGAUCCAGUUAAUGAUGAAGCAGAGGAUUGUGUACAUGCGUUAGCCGAGUGCAAGCGGCCUCUUGAUCUGGUGGAUAUCUUAGACAUGUUAGAGAUUACGUAAUGAUAUAAUUGAAAAGUGGGAUGGGCUGUGCAUCUGCCAACUCACCAGUCAACCAAUUAGAGACGGCCUUCCAAAGUGACACAGCACGAAAAUAUCAAUAUGGGACUGGUCUAGUCAACACAUAGAUCCUGAAAAAACCAUGGAGACCGCAGACGCAAAAUGACUUCCAUACAUAAAGAUAUGAUGCACAAUCUCCAGUGGGUUCAAAACACUGAACACAUGCUAUGCUGAUACACAGACUAUCAUAAGAACUUUUUCAAGCAAAGGAAAUCUGGUAUGAAAUCUCUCAGCUCACAUAAAAAGCCUACGUAGCUACAUGUAGGGAAGAAAAUGCGUAAUUGCUGAGAAAUGAGCAAAAUAAGCAUGUAAUUCUAUCAAAUGUCAGGUAUUUUUCGAAUCGAUUAUAAUACACUGUCCCACAUAUGCUUUUCUGUGUUUACAGCGAUCAUCAGAAUUAUCGAUUUUAAGUUAAACAAUUCAUGAUUUUACAAAGAUACAAGUUUACAUUAAUGUACCAGAUGUAGAUUAUGUACAAUAUAUUGACAAUUAACUUUGAUUUUAUAGAUUUUCUCAAGAAAUAAUUGUUUGCUGCAACUACUGUCUUUUCCUUCUAAGUGAUAGUGUAAUACAACAGUUCCACAAACUAUUUUCAUCAGACUUAUUGAUGCAUGAUUCUUUCACCCAAAUGCAAGCUUCCAUAAAUCCUGAAAACUUUGCAACUCAGGUAUUUUUUUUUUUA